rnacentral:rRNA from 1 species
AUUGAACGCUGGCGGCAGGCUUAACACAUGCAAGUCGAGCGAGCGGCGGACGGGUGAGUAAUGUCUGGGAAACUGCCUGAUGGAGGGGGAUAACUACUGGAAACGGUAGCUAAUACCGCAUACCAUAAGUUGUGCCCAAAGGGGAUUAGCUAGUAGGUGGGUUAAUGGCCACCCGAGGCGACAAUCCCUAGCUGGUCUGAGAGGAUGACCAGCCACCCUGGAACGGAGACACGGUCCAGACUCCUACGGGAGGCAGCAGUGGGGAAUAUUGCACAAUGGGCGCAAGCCUGAUGCAGCCAUGCCGCGGGUGUGAAGAAGGCCUUCGGGUUGUAAAGCACUUGCAGCGAGGAGGCGUUACUCGCAGAAGAAGCACCGGCUAACUCCGUGCCAGCAGCCGCGGUAAUAC